rnacentral:lncRNA from 10 species
CUGCAAUAAAUACUCCCUCCAUGGGUGGAUAUCAGCUGAGUUCAGACCAGUUUUGCUUUCUGCUGUGACAGAGCAACACUGAAUUCAAUGCAAUGUCUCACAAUUGCUGCACUCUCCCUCUUCCAAGCAAAUAGAUUCUCUCUCUGCACUACGCAGCAGCUGCCUGAGGAUGGGGAGGAGUGGCAUUAGCAAUUCGAGACUGUCUUUUUUACCUCUUCAAUGCCUCUUGCAGCGAUAUGAAAUUAAAACCAGCUUUUGUCACCAUCACAAACUUCUGCAGCCUUGGCCACUGAGGCAAUCACAGGCAUCACUGAUGAGGAUGAUAGCUGAAGAAACUGCAACUGCAUAAAGAUCACAUCACUGAAUCUACCCAGAACUACAGCCAAUGCAUGAUACCCACUUGACAACCUAGGACCUCUCUACAAGAAAAAGUCUUUCUCUAUGAAAGAUAAUUCAUAAAAUUUUAAAAAGUAACUCUUCUACUAGAUGCACAGAUAUUAAUGUAGGAACCCAAAAACCAUAAAAAGCAAGGAAAUAUGACACCUUCAGAGGAUUAUGUCUCUAAUCAAAGACCCUGAAGUGAAAGAUAUUUAUAAAAUGCCUGAAAAGAAAUUCAAAAUAAUGCUCUUAAGGAAACUCAGUGAAAUACAAGAUAAUACAGGUAGACAAUUCAAUAAAAUAUGGAAGACAAUUCUUGAUCUGAUUGUGAAAUUCAAUAAAGAGAAAGAUACCAUAAAAC